AUUCAUUCUGAAUAUUUUUUUAGUCUCCUACAUUGAGUCAAGGACCUCCAACCAAAAAACUCCACCUUGAAAAUGAUUCAGUUCAAUUUCCAACUUCUACAACACCUCAACCACCUUGUCAAGUCAAGACUGAACGUAUUCAUGAUACUCUCAUUAAACCAAAAGAAGAACCUUUAGACCAUUUAGAUGAGGAUAACACGUCGCAUUCUGGAGAAGAGUCUCACAUGGAUAUUUCCCACAUGUUAGAUACAUCUUUAGGAGAACCUUCUCCUUCAAAUCCUUUUCCUAUCUGGCCAUCAAUGGAUUUUCCACCGCCUAUUCCACAAGAUUCAUCCUCACCAGGGGGAGUGAAAAUCCAUGAAUA
rnacentral:misc_RNA from 1 species